GACAGAGGGUGGCAAACGUUGCUCGGAAUUACUGGGCGUAAAGCGCGUGUAGGCGGAUCGGAAAGUCGGGCGUGAAAUCCCCAGGCUCAACCUGGGAACUGCACUCGAAACUCCCGGUCUUGAGUGGUGGAGAGGGAAGUGGAAUUCCUGGUGUAGAGGUGAAAUUCGUAGAUAUCAGGAGGAACACCGUGGCGAAGGCGGCUCCUGGACACCAACUGACGCUGAGACGCGAAAGCGUGGGGAGCAAACAGG
rnacentral:rRNA from 1 species